rnacentral:rRNA from 1 species
AGCCGUAGGGAAACCGAGUCUGAAUAGGGCGAUUUAGUCGCUGGGCAUAGACCCGAAACCGGGCGAUCUAUCCAUGAGCAGGUUGAAGGUGCCGUAACAGGCACUGGAGGACCGAACCCACCUAUGUUGAAAAAUGGGGGGAUGAGCUGUGGCUCGGAGUGAAAGGCUAAUCAAGCCCGGAGAUAGCUGGUUCUCCCCGAAAGCUAUUUAGGUAGCGCCUCGGACGAAUACCACAGGGGGUAGAGCACUGUUUCGGCUAGGGGGUCAUCCCGACUUACCA